GGGAGGCUUUGGACCAAGUCGGUACAUGCAUGCGGGGUGGGGCUGGAAAGAUAGAUUGGCCUAUGGGAACUUAGAAGAAGAAAGCGGGGGAGAAAGAUGUUAGUGGAGGGAAGGUGGGGAAACACAUUGGAGAAACAGUACCGAAAGUGGGUUUCUUGAGGCAGGAAGAGCUGUUGAAAUAGAAGAACUCCUCUGUUGCAUUUAGAGCAAAGGGACAUUUGUGAGCUGUGUGGGAAGCCCAUGUGUGUUCAUCCCCUAUUGUCAUGCUUCCAACUUUCAUUUCUUUUUUUUUUCCUCUCCAAUACAUGUGAAAUGAUUGUGGCUUAGAAUGAUACUGUUUUGGUAACCUUAGGGCUAUACUUAAUGUCUGAGUUUAGGGCUUAACCAAACAUAGCUUACCUGGAAACUGUUCUUUAUUUAUCAGCAUUCAGAAUAGAAGCUGAGUCACAGCAGUGACACUGACACAUCUGGUUUCUGUCUCAUACUUCCUUAUUUCCUGGCUGUUGGUGAUCUUCACUUUUGCUUGUUGGGAACUUGAAAUACACCGUCUCAAUAACCAUUCACCCUGCUUACGAAUGAUGCCCUCAGACAGGGCCUUCACUGCUUCUCCUCCCAGACAGCAAUGGCUUUGUUUUAAUGACUGUUUUUCAACAUUGAACUAUAUAGCAUUUACUCAAUUAACUGUCAGCAAAAUAAUGUCACCUGCUUAAUUUCAAACACUGGCAAGUAACUUGGAUUUUCAUCUGUCUGUAAACUGGAUUUCAUUUGUGUUUAAAAGGAAGCCAGGGAAAGAACCCAUAUGUUUUUUGGGAAAGGCCUUUAUUCCUUAUUUUUCUAGCUUAGUAAUCAAUUAUAAUCUAUUCACUCCAUCUCCAUGUCCCAUACCCUGUUCACAGGUGAGGGUGGGGAGUACCACCAUCUUAGAGGUGAAGCUGGAAAAACGUGGUGAGAUGGAUUCAUACUGUACAAGAUGUGAGGAAUAUCCUUUUUAUCACAAGAAAGACUAUGAGAAUCCACCAAUGGAGGAGUGGCUAUUCACAAAGAGCUGUCCUGGAGAGACCCAGUCAUAUCUAUUAAUACUUCUCAGAAUUAUAAUGUGGCUUUAACAGCCACUGAUUGGAGCAGAGGAAAGGUGAAAACAGAAAGAAGAAGUUGCGUUCCUUAAAGUGACUCACAGGAAGGAAAGCUGGUAAGCAGGCAGUUGGAUGAUAGGCCUCUGACUCACUGGGGAGUCCUUUGCUAGAGCUUUGCAACCGUCUGUCACCAUUAGUAAUGCUGACGCUAGUUAGUGUGCUAUCUGACAAACCACCGUAUUUCCUUGGUAGCACAUACAAUGAAUACUUUCUUGGUUAAAACUUAGGUUUAGACUAAACUGUUGGGUACUUGCUGGUUCCAAACAAUGAAUUAAAACUGACGUUUGAAAAAGCUUCUUAGACAAAACACUUAAGAACCUAUGAGGUCUAUGCUCGUGGUUUGAAGUGUUAUGCUAGUGCUCUAUUCUUUGACCUUGUUCUAGGGAAAUGUUCAAGAGAAGUCAAAUCUGUGGCCUUUGUCUGUGCUGUGGUUGCAGAGGAUAAACCUCACCUGAAAUUCAGAGGAUGUGGGCUCAGAUUAUGUUCAGUGAUGACUUUAAGAAUAUAGGGAACAUGUAAACCAACCAAAAAACAUGAAAUCAGAGUGAUUCCCAUGACUCUCCCAGUCCACCAGUCUUCAGUAGCCCCAUGGCAGCUUUAGAAGUGUUCAUUUUAUUUCCCUGCAAAAGUAAAUUGUGACUGUAAGGACUGUGACCAGCUUACAGCCUCUAGCCUUUGCCUCAGAGCAUCGUACUGGUUUUGAAGCUGAGGGCAUCUCAGUCUCUCAGGCAGCCACUAGACAAUGGCUGAACAUGUUGGAACCUGGGCAUUUCUUUAAAACUCCAACUUCUCAAAUGAACAGUCUUUGUUCUGGAAUUCCCCACUGGGCUAGCCAAAACUCUUUGGGGUCACUGUCAUCCCACUUCCUUCUAUAGCUUCAUAAGUUGUUAUGCCCCAGGACAGUGACUGGAUGCCUCUUGCCACUGUGUUCUUGUGUUGAUUUACCUCUCAAGGUUGACAGUGCUAGGAAGUA
rnacentral:lncRNA from 1 species